rnacentral:RNase_P_RNA from 1 species
UAACCGCGCCGAACGGUCGCGCGAUAUGUUGCCGAAAGGUGUUAUCGCGAGGAAAGUCCGGGCUUCACAGGGCAGAGUAGCUGAUAACGUCAGCCGCAGGCGACUGCCGGGAAAGUGCAACAGAAAUAAACCGCUCUAACAAAAUUGAGCGAGCAAUUUUCUUAGUAGUAAGGAUGGAAAGGCGAGGUAAGAGCUCACCCGUUUCUAUGGUAACAUAGAUCCGCUGUAAACCCUACUUGAAGCAACACCGCACGCAGAUGUUUGCCCGACACUUAUCUGCAGGGUGGCACGGGAGAAAUCCCGAAGCUUGUUGGUGACAGCAAGCGAAGAUAGAUGACCGUUUAAGACAGAACCCGGCUUAUAGACGCGAUUACGAA